rnacentral:lncRNA from 1 species
GUUAGGUUAUUAAAAAUUUGUCUGGCUAUUAGUUUGUUAUAACAGAAUAGCUAGUUGUUUGAAGAUCUUAGGUUGUUCAUCCACAUGGUGAUUAGCUAUAAUAUAGCUAGAAGAUACUUAUUGUAAAGUUGGACGACUGUUAUAAUAGAGCUGUAGAGUAACUAUCUUUGUUCUAAGUUAGAUCGGUUCUAGAUUGAUAUCCACUAUGGC